rnacentral:rRNA from 1 species
AAAAGAAACCAACAGGGAUUGCCUCAGUAGCGGCGAGUGAAGCGGCAAGAGCUCAGAUUUGAAAUCGUGUUUCGGCACGAGUUGUAGAGUGUAGGCGGGAGUCUCUGUGGAGCGCGGUGUCCAAGUCCCUUGGAACAGGGUGCCUGAGAGGGUGAGAGCCCCGUGGGGUGCUGCGCGAAGCUUUGAGGCCCUGCUGACGAGUCGAGUUGUUUGGGAAUGCAGCUCUAAGCGGGUGGUAAAUUCCAUCUAAGGCUAAAUACUGGCGAGAGACCGAUAGCGAACAAGUACUGUGAAGGAAAGAUGAAAAGCACUUUGAAAAGAGAGUGAAACAGCACGUGAAAUUGUUGAAAGGGAAGGGUAUUGGGCCCGACAUGGGGAGUGCGCACCGCUGUCUCUUGUAGGCGGCGCUCUGGGCGCUCUCUGGGCCAGCAUCGGUUCUUGCUGCGAGAGAAGUGGCGCCGGAAAGUGGCUCUUCGGAGUGUUAUAGCCGGUGCCGGAUGUCGCGUGCGGGGACCGAGGGCUGCGACAUCUGUCUCGGAUGCUGGCACAACGGCGCAAUACCGC